rnacentral:lncRNA from 1 species
GGUUGUCAUCUGAACUGAUUUAUUGAAUUACUUUAUUUUAUUUUUUUUUUUUAAUUGCAGAUAAUCCAGAGCACGUUUCAAGGCACAGACUUAGAAAAACUGAAGAAUUGACACUGAAGCACUGCAGGUGCUGAAAGCCCCAUUUUAUCCACCCGUGGUCAUCCAGCAGUGGUCAAGCAUCUACGUGUACCAGCUGUCAGCUGAACAGGGACCUGCAGGCUGGAGGAGAAAAUGCACAGGGCUUGCAGAGAUAAGUGCUGAUGGAGAGCUGGAGAGAAUGCCUGUGUCAUGAGCUAUAUCAGAGCCAAAGUAUCAGAGUGUCUGGCACAUGUCAUGCCCCACAUAAACUGCUGAAACACAGACCAGGUCAUAUACAAGGUUUGUUACAAGGGAUUAAAAGAGAACAUUUCACCACCUUAUGUAUCUGGUCAGACAACACCUGGCAGGCCAGCCAAGGGAUAUGAACGUUCUUCCCAUCUGAAGGGUUGUCUCAAGGAGCAUCAUCUACAGGUACAGGGAGGUGAGCAAUAACAAUCAUGAAAUACUGCAUACACAACUUUUCAUCCAGGAGUGUGCAAGGCUGACUCCACUGACCAGCAGCAGAUGAUGGUCUUGUUCCCUGCUCCUUGUCCUUGGAGCCACCCAUGUCUGAGAGCUUGUUUAGUCCCUGUCUGAACCACACUUACCCUGGCAAUGAGAUCCAUAGGUGAAUCUUAUCCCAUGUGAGAAGUUAUUUUCUUCUUUGUUUUCUAAAACUCACUGUCUGGUCUCUUCAUCGGAUGGGCUUAAAUCCUCUGGUGGCAUGAAACACCAUUCCUCCUAUUUUGGGUCAUGACCUAAUCAUACCAAAUUAUUGUUGGCUCCAGCAUCUCUGAGAUAGCUGGUGGGGAAACUGCAGGCUUUUAAAAGCUAUGCCCUUUGCUGGGUAUUAGAUGUGCUAUUAUUGCCAUUCUCUUCCCUACCAGAGCACAAAGCGUGCUUAGCAGCACUCACGGACCUCCUCAAAAAACAGUACACAGGCUGAAACUACAGUCUGUCCUGCAGUUUCUCUUCACGUGCUCUGUGCUGAUAAUGGAAACCCAAGUAAGGAGGGAGGCAGAUGCUCUGGGAAACUAGUUUUCUUCUUUCUAUUCCUCCUCAGGGAAUACAGGCAGACAUGAUUAGCAUGGAUUUUAUAAGCUGCCUGUAGGAAACAGUGAUAAAAUUAACUUCUCCUUUAUGAUUCAUAAAUAUUAAUAAUGUGUCCAGAUCUGAUUUCAAGAUCUGAAAUCAAGAUGAUUAGUUAAAGCAAGGAAAAU